rnacentral:rRNA from 3 species
UACGAAGGGGGCUAGCGUUGCUCGGAAUCACUGGGCGUAAAGCGCACGUAGGCGGGUUGUUAAGUCGGGGGUGAAAUCCUGGAGCUCAACUCCAGAACUGCCUUCGAUACUGGCGACCUUGAGUCCGGGAGAGGUGAGUGGAACUCCGAGUGUAGAGGUGAAAUUCGUAGAUAUUCGGAAGAACACCAGUGGCGAAGGCGGCUCACUGGCCCGGUACUGACGCUGAGGUGCGAAAGCGUGGGGAGCAAACAGG